ACGGAAGGCAGCAGUGGGGAAUGUUGGGCAAUGGGCGCAAGCCUGACCCAGCAAUGCCGCGUGAAGGAAGAAGGCUUUCGGGUUGUAAACUCUUUUAAGUGGGACGAUAAUGACGGUACCACUUGAAUAAGCUCCGGCUAACUACGUGCCAGCAGCCGCGGUAAUACGUAGGGAGCAAGCGUUAUCCGGAUUUACUGGGUGUAAAGGGCGUGUAGGCGGGACAGCAAGUCAGGUGUGAAAGCACGAGGCUCAACUUCGUGUCUGCAUUUGAAACUGCUGUUCUUGAGUGCUGGAGAGGCUAACGGAACUCCUAGUGUAGCGGUGAAAUGCGUAGAUAUUAGGAAGAACACCAGUGGCGAAGGCGGUUAGCUGGACAGUAACUGACGCUGAGGCGCGAAAGCGUGGGUAGCAAACAGGAUUAGAUACCCUGGUA
rnacentral:rRNA from 1 species